rnacentral:rRNA from 1 species
GACGAACGCUGGCGGCGUGCUUAACACAUGCAAGUCGAACGGAAAGGCCCUGCUUUUGUGGGGUGCUCGAGUGGCGAACGGGUGAGUAACACGUGAGUAACCUGCCCUUGACUUUGGGAUAACUUCAGGAAACUGGGGCUAAUACCGGAUAGGAGCUCCUGCUGCAUGGUGGGGGUUGGAAAGUUUCGGCGGUUGGGGAUGGACUCGCGGCUUAUCAGCUUGUUGGUGGGGUAGUGGCUUACCAAGGCUUUGACGGGUAGCCGGCCUGAGAGGGUGACCGGCCACAUUGGGACUGAGAUACGGCCCAGACUCCUACGGGAGGCAGCAGUGGGGAAUAUUGCACAAUGGGCGGAAGCCUGAUGCAGCAACGCCGCGUGCGGGAUGACGGCCUUCGGGUUGUAAACCGCUUUCGCCUGUGACGAAGCGUGAGUGACGGUAAUGGGUAAAGAAGCACCGGCUAACUACGUGCCAGCAGCCGCGGUGAUACGUAGGGUGCGAGCGUUGUCCGGAUUUAUUGGGCGUAAAGGGCUCGUAGGUGGUUGAUCGCGUCGGAAGUGUAAUCUUGGGGCUUAACCCUGAGCGUGCUUUCGAUACGGGUUGACUUGAGGAAGGUAGGGGAGAAUGGAAUUCCUGGUGGAGCGGUGGAAUGCGCAGAUAGCAGGAGGAACACCAGUGGCGAAGGCGGUUCUCUGGGCCUUUCCUGACGCUGAGGAGCGAAAGCGUGGGGAGCGAACAGGCUUAGAUACCCUGGUAGUCCACGCUGUAAACGGUGGGUACUAGGUGUGGGGUCCAUUCCACGGGUUCCGUGCCGUAGCUAACGCUUUAAGUACCCCGCCUGGGGAGUACGGCCGCAAGGCUAAAACUCAAAGGAAUUGACGGGGCCCCGCACAAGCGGCGGAGCAUGCGGAUUAAUUCGAUGCAACGCGUAGAACCUUACCUGGGUUUGACAUGGAUCGGGAGUGCUCAGAGAUGGGUGUGCCUCUUUUGGGGUCGGUUCACAGGUGGUGCAUGGCUGUCGUCAGCUCGUGUCGUGAGAUGUUGGGUUAAGUCCCGCAACGAGCGCAACCCUUGUUCACUGUUGCCAGCACGUUAUGGUGGGGACUCAGUGGAGACCGCCGGGGUCAACUCGGAGGAAGGUGGGGAUGACGUCAAGUCAUCAUGCCCCUUAUGUCCAGGGCUUCACGCAUGCUACAAUGGCUGGUACAGAGAGUGGCGAGCCUGUGAGGGUGAGCGAAUCUCGGAAAGCCGGUCUCAGUUCGGAUUGGGGUCUGCAACUCGACCUCAUGAAGUCGGAGUCGCUAGUAAUCGCAGAUCAGCAACGCUGCGGUGAAUAUGUUCCCGGGGCU